rnacentral:lncRNA from 10 species
GCAUUCAAAAUUUUUCUUUGUGCCACCAGGGUUGAGAGCCAUUGCCUUUUUGGUCCCUUUUAAUUAGAUUAAUUUUACCUCUAAACCUUAACACCAAAACUCAAUUAACCUUUUUAAGACAUAAUUUUCAGUGCAUGUUUUACUGCUAAAUUUCCUCAGCCAGAGACCGUAGAUAAUAUACCAUUUUUUAAAUUUCACGAGAGAGAUAGCUCUAUUGACAAAGCUGUAUGAAUUUAAUAUAGUUCCAAGGCUGGUACUUUCCUGACUUGGCUCAUUCUCUUACAAAUCUAAGCAUGUUGUAGAGAGUAGGCUUCUCCUGCCUCUGUUGUCUACAGUGAAUAUUUAUGGAGAUAAACUUCCAAACUUUUCUUUGAUUCUUCUUCUGACUUUCGAUUUUCCCUCAUGUCAACCUAUGUGCUUUUCUAUCUGGCCUUUCUCCUUCAGACUGACUGAAUGACAUUUAAUCACAUCUUUCUCUUUUCUGCGAGGUCUCCACAGAUUGAUGGCUACAUAACCAUAGCCCUAAUUUUGCAGGGCUACACAAACACCCUCAUCUAUAUCCUGCUCUUAUAGACAACCCAAAAGCAAGGGUACUUGAAAACAGUCAUUAAAGAUUGCAGGCAUGGAGCUAGGGACAAGGCACAAAAUGGCAAAUGAAGCAUCAUUUCAUUUAUAUAUUAACAUGAGUGGGUCUAAAAUGUAGCUUCUUUGUAAUAUGUGAGAUUGUGAUCUCAUCUUCCAUGACUGCGUGCCUUGAUUCUAACAACAUAUAUCAUCUUCCAAUACCUGCACUCAUUUUUAAGAAAACAAGUUUUAUUUUAUCCCAGUGGCGUACUAGCUAGUAAACUCUGAAGUCAUUUUCUUCUACUCUAUGAUUAAGCACCGAAGUGUCUGGAUGAAGUGGAACCCUUCAACUUUGCUGGCAUUCUUAGAUGGAAGCUUUACACAUUUAAAACACUGAGCUUCUCAGUCCACUGAUUGGUGCUGCUUGGAUCACCAGUCCUUGGCGAGAUCCAGUCCUAUUUCCUAACACUGGGCAUUAUGUUUUUUCUGCAUCCUAUCCUUCUAUUUAGAUUGGGCAUCCUUUAAACUGGGAUCUUGCUAUGUUCCUUGUUACUUGUUAUUCUUCAACUCUCUGUUGUGGAGGAGCUGACAAUUGUGCCUUUUAUUAUUAUUUUAAUUCUGUAAUAAGCCCAAUGAUAUAAAUACAUUCUCCAAUUCUGUGGUUUGCUUUUUCACUCUGUUGAUGAUGUCACUGAUUUUUCCCUAGUUCUUUGAAUAGCUAGCAUUUGUAAAUCUUGUGGGUCUCAUUUUAGACAUAAAGUUCUCAGAAGAACCUUCUUAGAUUACUUUGUUUAGGACUGUGUCAAUGAAGCAUUUUAAGCAAAGGCACAAUAUGAUGAGAUUUACAUUUUGAGAGGAUCAUUCAUGCUUUUGUCUUAAUGAAAGAUACAGGAGAAAGGUUAGCAUUUUAUUGAACAAUUCUGAAGAUAUCUUGGUUGAUUAUGGCUUAAGAUCAUGGCAGCAGAGGUAAAAAGAAGUCCAUGGAUCCUAGAUAUAUUUAAUAAAGAAAUUUGAGAGUUGAUGCAUUAAAUGUAAGAGAUUGAGAGAGGGUGGUUCUAUGCUUGCCCCAUGGAUUUCUAGUUUCAGUAAGCAUCUGGAUAGAUAAUACAAUACAAUGCAAUACAAUACAAUCGCUUGUAUGACUAGGACUGAGUACACAGUAGGAUCUCAGCUCACUGCAACCUCCACCUCCUGGGUUCAAGCGAUUCUCCUGGCUCAGCCUCUGGAGGAUCUGGGAUUACAAGGCAUGCACCACCAUGCCCAGCUAAUUUUUUGUAUUUUUAGUAGAGACAGGGUUUUACCACGUUGGCCAGGCUGGUCUCGAACUCCUGACUUCGUGAUCCACCCACCUUGGUCUCCCAAAGUGCUGGGAUUACAGGCAUAAGCCACGAAGCCCAGUCAACAAUUAAAUAAUCAAGUCAUUAUUGUGAAUUUGGAUCUAAAUGACCUGGCAGAAACCAUGGAGAUGAUCUUGGUAAACUCACCUAAUUUUUAAAAUGCCUCACAGAGUUUAAUUUUGCCCUUUUGUGUCAUGGUAAAUGAGAGGCUCUCUUGCCUCCACUUCAUUCCAAACUCAUGUCCCAUGAUCUGCAAGGAAUGUUUUCUCUUUAUUUGCAAGGAUACUGCUCAAGCUUCUAUUUAUGAGCCCCUGAACAAUAGAAUAGACAGCCCCACUGAGACUCUUUUGCCUUUGUGUGGUACAAAGGGACCUCCCUCUAGGAGAAGACAAAAAUAAUUUAAGUCUAUAACUCAUUUUAAAAAAUCAAAACAAAGCAAACAAAACAGAAAAACCCCAGCAUUCAAUUAUUUCUGCUUUCUAUUGGAACUGGAGAUCCUCCUUUUUAACUGAAUUAGCAUAUUCCUGACCUCAGGAACUGCAGCUAUUAUGAAAUUUAUAAUCUGUUUAUAUACCUAACAUAGUAUUCUUAUUCUUAAAUAAGUUCCUAAGUAAAUAUUUGUGAAAUGAUAUUUCCCUUAAUUCAUUCUUAUUGUGCAGUUAAUGAGAUUAUUUGUCAUUGGAUAUUGACUAUAAAAUCAGUGUUGAAAGCCUUUACUAAUUAUUUAUACUAAUGUAUCAUUUAAUGUUUAUUCUAGCUUCCUAUGCAGACAGCCUAGUUAGGUCUGAUUAUGUCCAUGGGCCUAUCUCUAUAGAACAGGCAGAGACAUUAAUGCUAAAUAAAGUACAAUGAAGAAAAGUAAUUUUUUUUGCAUGUUAGUUCUUUGUUUUGCACUUUGUUUCAUUGAAUUGUAACAGAAAGAGCUUGAAGAGAUGAGCUAAAAUAAAGGUAGGCAAUUCAAAGAUAUUUUGAUUGGAAUUGCUGGGUAAGUGAGUGGAGAGAAAAAUGUUGGAAUACCUGAGCAUUCUCUCUCAGUGGCCUAGUUGAACCCCAGGGAACAUUUUGUUCUGAGGGUGAUUUAAAGACACUGAUAAAUAAGAAGGCAUCCUGUUAAGCUAGUUAAAGCUAGACUGAAUAAGAUAGGUUAGUCUGGUACUAAUUUGGGAUAGUUGAGUAGCAAUGGUGAGCCUGAUAAGGCAGGGUGGCUCUCAGUACUCACUCAGCCAUUGGUACCAAAGGAAAAUCAAAGGCUGCAAAAAUGCCAUGUUAUUAAAUAUGUUUUAGGAUGUCUGAAGACUCAUCACAGCCACCUAAGCCCAUAAACUAUUAAACAUGACAUCUAUGCUAUUUAUUAACACAGGAAAAAGGUACACUUUUUUUUUUAAUGCACAGACAUUACAUGGAGACAUAUAUUUUUCCAAACCAGUGCUUAUCUUGAGAGAGUUAAGAACUGUCGACAAACUACUCUAAUGAGGCUGUUUUCUGAGGGAAAGCAAGCUCAGUAAAUCACUCUGCUUUUCUUUGGUCUUUUCGUCCUGCAUGUAAAAUUUUAACCACAUCUGACAGAGGAAGUGAAUCUCUGGGCCAAAAUACUCAACAAAUGUCUUAUCCACAGAUAGAGACUGGUAAGUUCUGGAAGGUGCUUCAUAGUGUUCCAAAGUGUGUCAUCCCUGUGCUUAUGCAUUUGUAUCAAGGAUUUAAAGAGGAAAAACUCAAAGCAAUGUAUUCUGAUCAAGAAAUGGCAGGAAAUGGCAGCUACCUGAUAUGGAACAAUCAACAACUGAAGGUUUAUUUUGAAUGAGAGGUGUUGUCCAACUGCGAGACGGAGUGAUUGAAGCUGAGAAUAAAUGGAAACACAAUCAAUAGUCACUCCAGUGAGGUAGGAAAGAAAGCCAUUCCGAAGUGGCAGAGAAGCUGCUUUUUCCUCCUGCAUGCUGCCUGCUAGUGUGGAUCUUGGCAUAACAGACACUACUUGGCAAAAGAUCCAUCCUUCCUUUUCCUAUACUUUGCUCAGCGGCCUGGAAGAUUGACCUCAAAAGCAAAAUCACCUGGAUUUCCUUGCCAUUUGGCUUUCAAAUGUGCUCAGCCAAUGACAGGCUGGAAAGAAAUUGACAGCUGGGAAAAGAGGAAGAUUUGUGUACAAGAUCCCUUCCACUCCCAUCUCAUUACCUGCCAUGGUCCUAGCAGUGGCUGUUCUUAUUAUGGCCACAACUACUCUUGGACAGGCCAACAUCCACAACUCCAUCCUUCAACUAGGCUUCAUUAACACUGUCCCUCACCCUUAUCUCUUUCUGGGUAGGGGUGAUAAAGGUUUCCUGACAUCAGAGUUCCUGAGUGCCUCAUAUAUUCUUGUUGGUCCCUGAACCUUGCCCCAACAUCAAUAAAAAGUUCCUUCAUUAAAUAAUUUUCAGUUGAAUCUUUCGUGCUGGGAUCUGUCCAAUUCGACUUUAGCAUACUUUUCGUGCCAAGAAAGUGAUAGUUUCUUGCCAGGAUUUGGCUCAAAGGGCUCACAGUGGGUGAGGGGAUGAGAUUACUUAUUAAGUGAUAAAAUGGAGAUCACAGUGGUUAACCUGCCUAAGAUCACAUGGUUGGUCAACUCAUGGUCGAUUCAUUAAAAUAUUAAAACAUAGAAUCAGUCAGGC